rnacentral:rRNA from 1 species
UACGUAGGGGGCAAGCGUUAUCCGGAUUUACUGGGUGUAAAGGGAGCGUAGACGGCAUGGCAAGUCAGAUGCGAAAGCCCGGGGCUCAACCCCGGGACUGCAUUUGAAACUGUCAGGCUGGAGUGCAGGAGAGGUAAGCGGAAUUCCUAGUGUAGCGGUGAAAUGCGUAGAUAUUAGGAGGAACACCAGUGGCGAAGGCGGCUUACUGGACUGUAACUGACGUUGAGGCUCGAAAGCGUGGGGAGCAAACAGG